CACUCCUGCGGGAGGCAGCAGUAGGGAAUCUUCCACAAUGGGUGCAAACCUGAUGGAGCAAUGCCGCGUGAGUGAAGAAGGUCUUCGGAUCGUAAAGCUCUGUUGUUAGAGAAGAACACGUGCUAGGUAACUACUAGCGCCUUGACGGUAUCUAACCAGAAAGUCAUGGCUAACUACGUGCCAGCAGCCGCGGUAAUACGUAGGUGACAAGCGUUGUCCGGAUUUAUUGGGCGUAAAGGGAGCGCAGGCGGUCUGUUUAGUCUAAUGUGAAAGCCCACGGCUUAACCGUGGAACGGCAUUGGAAACUGACAGACUUGAAUGUAGAAGAGGAAAAUGGAAUUCCAAGUGUAGCGGUGGAAUGCGUAGAUAUUUGGAGGAACACCAGUGGCGAAGGCGAUUUUCUGGUCUAACAUUGACGCUGAGGCUCGAAAGCGUGGGGAGCGAACAGGAUUAGAAACCCUGGUAGUCCC
rnacentral:rRNA from 1 species